UAAUCCCACUCUCAUUCACUCAUAAAUCCUGUUGAUUUUACCUCCUAGAUAUUUCUUCAGUAGGUUCAUUUCCUUUUAACUUUAUACAUCAUGGCUUUAAUUCAUAUCCUGGCCAUAUUUCACUUGGGUUAUUGCAAUGUUCUUUGUGAAGUAGAGAGUUAAAAAGCCGUGGAGAAAAGUGCAUUAGCCCAGACUGGAGAGGGAUGCUAAAUGGGGGUUAUAAAAGCAACAGCACACUGAAAUGGAAAUUGGGCACCAAGGCAAUGCUGAAACAGGGAAUCAAGGGUGACAGGGGCUGGAAAUAUGGAGAGAGGCUUGGAAGACAGUGAUGAGAACCGUGGUCUAUUCCAUAAUUUUCUCUGGGAUUGGCCUUCCUUCUUCAACUAGAAAAGUUAAUAGCAAUAUAAAAAUGAAAUCUGAUUAUUAGGGUAUUUUCAUCUUCCUUUAGUAACUUACAUUCAUUAGUUUUUCAAUAAGUAAUUUUUAAACAUUUCAGGAUGUCAACAUAUUGAGGAAUUUCAGUGUAGGACAGUUUUUGACCUUAGAACAAUAUCAUCCAAUUGCAUUUAGCAUUUCAUUUCUAGUUCUGUGACAACAAAAUUAUCUUGUAUAGAGGACAUGGUAAAUGAUGCCCUCUGGAUAACAGAAUUUAACUUCACAAUAACUCUGAGGGGAAAAAAACCUCACAUUUUUCCUUAAAUUAUAUAAAUACUUAUCUAUAAAUAAUUUCUGUUAAAUCUAUAAUCCAAGUUGUUAAUAUUUUAAAACUUAAAACCUGUUUAAAAAAUUUUAUGAAGAUGCUACAUGUUUUGUAAUAUGGUAGAGAACAACCAGAAGAUUUAAACUUCAUAGG
rnacentral:lncRNA from 10 species